rnacentral:ncRNA from 1 species
UGCGGUAAGUCACACUUAGCCCUGGCACCUAAGUCUGCGGAUAGGGUGCCCCGGCCGCAACUGUUGUUGCCAGGGUGCAGAAAGAAAUGCCUGCAUCUCCCGUCUCUGGAAAGGUGUACUGGUGCCACAAUU